AUGUCUCCACAGCAUCACUACACUUGGUGCCUGAGCCUGUCUCCACCACAGUUGUGGAGACAGGCUCAGGCACCAAGUGUAUUGAUGCUGUGGAGACAU